ensembl:snRNA U5 U5 spliceosomal RNA
AUACUCUGGUUUCUCUUCAGAUUGUAUAAAUCUUUCGCCUUUUACUAAAGAUUUCCGUGGAGACUCUGAGUCUUUAAUUUUCUGAGGCCUUGUUUAGGCAAGGCU